rnacentral:rRNA from 1 species
UACGUAGGGACCAAGCGUUGUCCGGAAUCAUUGGGCGUAAAGAGCGUGUAGGCGGCCUGACAGGUCUGCUGUGAAAACUCGAGGCUCAACCUCGAGAUGUCGGCGGAAACCGUCUGGCUAGAGUCCGGAAGAGGAGAGUGGAAUUCCUGGUGUAGCGGUGAAAUGCGCAGAUAUCAGGAAGAACACCUAUGGCGAAGGCAGCUCUCUGGGACGGUACUGACGCUGAGACGCGAAAGCGUGGGGAGCGAACAGG